UAGGGAAUCUUCCACAAUGGACGCAAGUCUGAUGGAGCAACGCCGCGUGAGUGAAGAAGGUUUUCGGACCGUAAAGCUCUGUUGUUGGUGAAGAAGGAUAGAGGUAGUAACUGGCCUUUAUUUGACGGUAAUCAACCAGAAAGUCACGGCUAACUACGUGCCAGCAGCCGCGGUAAUCGUAGGUGGCAAGCGUUGUCCGGAUUUAUUGGGCGUAAAGCGAGCGCAGGCGGAAGAAUAAGUCUGAUGUGAAAGCCCUCGGCUUAACCGAGGAAUUGCAUCGGAAACUGUUUUUCUUGAGUGCAGAAGAGGAGAGUAGAACUCCAUGUGUAGCGGUGGAAUGCGUAGAUAUAUGGAAGAAUACCAGUGGCGAAGGCGGCUCUCUGGUCUGCAACUGACGCUGAGGCUCGAAAGCAUGGGUAGCGAACAGGAUUAGAUACCCUUGGUAG
rnacentral:rRNA from 1 species